GCCUUCGUGGUAUAGUGAUCAGCACACUCGACGCGAAUUCGAGAGGUCCGAGGUUAAAGUCCCGGCGAGAGCA
rnacentral:tRNA from 1 species